GUGAUAAGAGAGAGAUCUCUGAAGCUGUAGACAUCUUUCACGAUCUCGAGCAAAAGGCAACCAACAGCGCAGCUCCUACUCAUGAAGGAAACUUCUCACUAUAUGAAGCAAAUGCUAUCGCUUUCUUCGCAUGCUAUGUAAAAUUUAAAAGCAUCAAAAAGUGUGAAGGUUGCGAAACUGAUAUGUGUAAGUCGCCUAUGGAUGCUCAUUCUGUGAAUGAGUUGUACAUAGAAUUCCGCGAAUAUGAGAAUGUUGAUAUCGAUGCGCCAACCAUUACGAAGCUAACCCGCCCAACUGAUAGGUACGCAGAAUUGGUUCGGUUGCAGAUAGUCGUUUUUGAUAGAGUUUGGAAGAAGCACUGGAGUUCUUCAUCUAUACUCCAGGAUAUCACUAUUGAUAUAAGGAGAGCUGUCGACUCGUCUGCUCCUGAUUGGUUUUGUCAGAGUCAUAGUUGCUACAAUCAUCGGGUAGCCGCUUUGGAAUUUUUAGUAAGGGUCAAGCUCUUUGCUAGGACAAGAUACAACAACCGGGAAGCGUGGAAGAAUAACAUUCAAUGUUAUAGUUGAAAUAGGAAGCUGCGAAAAGUCACUCAUCAGUGAAUCAAGCAUGUGAAUCUAUCUCUCACUCACACUCACCUGUCUACAUGAUAGCGUUAGGUUUCGAUUUCACCGCCUAAAGUUGCGUAAGACAUUCUCAUAUUUCGCCAAUCACCACUUUUCCCGUUCACUCAAACAUUCCAUAGAUUAAAUGCAAUUGCUUCCAAAGGCUUCUUCUACGUUUUUAAAGCGUUUCGUUGCAACAAUCGUUAUGCCGUGGUACCUUACACUCUCUCUAUUAUCUCUCACAUAUCCUCGAAAGCGCAUUCAGGGAUUGGGGCCUUCUGAAUAAGAAGUUCAUCGUGAUGUCGGUAUGUACAUCUUAAAAAAAAAUCGCGAGCACCAGAUAUUUUUUUGAUUGACUAAUAUUGAAUCUUCAGGUCGUUUUCUAGGAACGCAAUUUUACAGUACAGGGGAUCGUGCCUGAGCUACUCGGAGAAUUCAGCACAAUUAAGAUUUCUUGACGCAUCAUCGCAACGAAGCUCGAAUUGAUCGCUCUGAAUUGCGAGCUUCUGCUGCUUCAAAAGAAGGCAGAACAGCUCAGCUAGCAAAAAGAAAUUCUGCAAACAUCCCAUAUAAAGUAGAGGAAGACCUAAUGUAUGGAUCUGGGAUCGCCGAUUAGUGUAAAUUUCAGAUCACUGAAAGGGGUGGAAUGAUGUCAACCAGGGUGCACCGUUUUUUUGAAGCCCCCACUUCACCGGCCUGUAAUUUCGCGAAUUUUGGAUGUUUUUUUUAAUAUUUUUUUUUUAUAUUGUUUAAAUCCCAAUAAAUAAUAUAUAAAAAAAUGGAUACUGAAAAUGUUUUUCUUUCCUUUCUAGUCUUAGUUUGAAAAAUGGCUAAAAUUUAGGG